rnacentral:rRNA from 1 species
CAACGCGAAGAACCUUACCUGGUCUUGACAUCCACAGAACUUUCCAGAGAUGGAUUGGUGCCUUCGGGAACUGUGAGACAGGUGCUGCAUGGCUGUCGUCAGCUCGUGUUGUGAAAUGUUGGGUUAAGUCCCGCAACGAGCGCAACCCUUAUCCUUUGUUGCCAGCGAUUAGGUCGGGAACUCAAAGGAGACUGCCAGUGAUAAACUGGAGGAAGGUGGGGAUGACGUCAAGUCAUCAUGGCCCUUACGACCAGGGCUACACACGUGCUACAAUGGCGCAUACAAAGAGAAGCGACCUCGCGAGAGCAAGCGGACCUCAUAAAGUGCGUCGUAGUCCGGAUUGGAGUCUGCAACUCGACUCCAUGAAGUCGGAAUCGCUAGUAAUCGUGGAUCAGAAUGCCACGGUGAAUACGUUCCCGGGCCUUGUACACACCGCCCGUCACACCAUGGGAGUGGGUUGCAAAAGAAGUAGGUAGCUUAACCUUCGGGAGGGCGCUUACCACUUUGUGAUUCAUGACUGGGGUGAAGUCGUAACAAGGUAACCGUAGGGGAACCUGCGGUUGGA